rnacentral:rRNA from 1 species
GAUGAACGCUGGCGGCGUGCCUAAUACAUGCAAGUCGAGCGAACAGACGAGGAGCUUGCUCCUUUGACGUUAGGGGCGGACGGGUGAGUAACACGUGGGUAACCUACCUAUAAGACUGGGAUAACUUCGGGAAACCGGAGCUAAUACCGGAUAAUAUUUCGAACCGCAUGGUUCGAUAGUGAAAGAUGGCUUUGCUAUCACUUAUAGAUGGACCUGCGCCGUAUUAGCUAGUUGGUAAGGUAACGGCUUACCAAGGCAACGAUACGUAGCCGACCUGAGAGGGUGAUCGGCCACACUGGAACUGAGACACGGUCCAGACUCCUACGGGAGGCAGCAGUAGGGAAUCUUCCGCAAUGGGCGAAAGCCUGACGGAGCAACGCCGCGUGAGUGAUGAAGGUCUUCGGAUCGUAAAACUCUGUUAUUAGGGAAGAACAAACGUGUAAGUAACUGUGCACGUCUUGACGGUACCUAAUCAGAAAGCCACGGCUAACUACGUG